rnacentral:rRNA from 1 species
CAGUAGCCGCGGGAAUACGUAGGUCCCGAGCGUUGUCCGGAUUUAUUGGGCGUAAAGCGAGCGCAGGCGGUUAGAUAAGUCUGAAGUUAAAGGCUGUGGCUUAACCAUAGUACGCUUUGGGAACUGUUUAACUUGAGUGCAAGAGGGGAGAGUGGAAUUCCAUGUGUAGCGGUGAAAUGCGUAGAGAUGUGGAGGAACACCAGUGGCGAAGGCGACUCUCUGGUCUGUAACUGACGCUGAGGAGCGAAAGCGUGGGGAGCGAACAGGAUUAGAUACCCCGGUAGUCCCUGUCUCUUAUACA